UCUCCACUGUAUCUCCACCGUGUCUCCACCAUGACAACCCGCCAAUUCCAACAUCCACAAAACCCUAACCAGAUUUAGUUAUCACUUACCAUCAACGCUCUCCUCUCAUUUACUCUCCUCCGCUACCCAAAUUAAGCGUAUGAUUUAGUUCGAUUUUCACUCAGAUCGAUUUUCACUUUCCUCCUCCUGCAGAUGCAGGCGAUGUAAUUCGGAAACAUCUUUAGUGGAGACUCAAAGAGAUCUAAAGUCAAAUGGAACUUCAAUGCAGCAACUGGUCUCUUCGUCCUCUUACACAAGACCAAGCUACUUACGCCGCCUUAGACGCUCAUUUUUGAUGUUUUUCAGCAAAGACUUCUCAAACAAGUGAGUUAUGAGUGUGUAUUUAUGUGAUCGCAACACCAUCAGUGAAAGAUCACUUCACCGCACCAGUUUGACCAGAUUUGCAGCAGAGGAAACACCAAUUGAACGAAAGACUUUCUGAACCAUCAUUGUCUUCAAAGAUAUCAAUAGGAUUUAAAACCCAUAAAAGCAAACCCAAGCUAGGGUUUCUCCAACUACCCCCAUAACAGCAGCUUCCAAGAUCCAAUUGAGUAUACAUAUAUUCAGACCCAUAACUUUGUUGGCACUGAUGAGAAAAAAUCCAUCAGGAUUGAUGGGACUGUAGAACAAAUCCACUACAGGCCGAGAAUGACCGUGGCACACGAGAGGAACAACGACCUUCUUGUCAGCAGCUUCCAAGAUCCAAAAAACCCUAGAAUCGACGAUUGAUCUAAAAGCGCACAAGCUGAGAUUGGCAACAAGUUCCAUUGUUUCAGCAGUUGCAGACAAUAUGAAGAAAGGGAUUCACCCUCAGAUGAAAUGGAUCUCGUACGUGACCCAAAGUGGCUGAUUAAUACACGUUAUGAUGACCAAAAUCCACGAGACAAGCAAGGUUUAUCACUUUAAAGCAAGAAAACAGAUGGCUGAAAGUGUCGGUUAGGUGGCCAAGUUCAGACGUCGUUAAUGGCGGCGAUCAACAAUCAAUCCAACAAGAUGAAUCCACACCUCCUCCUUGAUGCAAUUAUUAUUAUUAUUGUGUAAAGAAAAAUAACAAAAAAGGAAAAAAUACUAAAAAGAAAGAUAAGAUAGACUACUGCGAACAGGGCUAGGCGAUAUGAAGAAAGGGAUUGGCAAUGAAGUUCCAUUGUUUCAGCAGUUGCAGACGAUAUGAAGAAAGGGAUUCACCCUCAGAUGCAAUGGAUCUCGUACGUGACCCAAGGCGGUUGAUUAGUACACGUUAUGAUGACCAAAAUCCACGAGACAGGCAAGGUUUAUCACUUUAAAGCAAGAAAACAGAUGGCUGAAAGUGUCGGUCAGGUUGCCAAGUUCAGACGUCGUUAAUGGCGGCGAUCAACAAUCGAUCCAACAAGAUGAAUCCACACCUCCUCCUUGAUGUAAUUAUUAUUAUUAUUAUUAUUAUUAUUAUUGUAAUAAAGAAAAAGGAAAAAAAAAUACUAAAAAGAAAGAUAAGAUAGACUACUGCGAACAGGCUAGGCGUCAGACCUUCAAUGAUCCACAGAGAUCUAUUGUACCACACCAAGAAGAUCCAGAAACCCAAAAAAUAUGAAACCCUAAUAUGGUGAAUCACGAUCGGUAACAGACAACGGAAGCAAAUACUCAAAGAGCACGAACGGCUCUGAUACCAUGUCAAAAUUGGUAUUACAGAGACUUUAAAUAAUUAUAAAACAAUUCAGAUCUUUGU
rnacentral:lncRNA from 1 species